rnacentral:misc_RNA from 1 species
AUAAAUUUUUGUUUUAUAAGGAUUACUUGGAUUUCGAAAAAAAACAGUGACUCUGAAACUCAGUCAACUAUUUACAUCCAAAACUCAACCUCCUCAAAUUCAUGCAAUAACCAAACAAGCCUCUAUCACCAUGCAAUCACCACCACGGACCACCCACUCCGCCGCGACAGAUUAUUCAAACAAUCACCCUCUCUCUGCGGCUCCACAUCUCAUCAACCACCACGUACCGCCUCUUCUCUCAAUGUGUCUCUCUCUUUCCACCACGUAUCCACUUCCUCUUUUUCCCUUUCACCAAGCACUCUGGCCUUUCUCCACCACCGGCACCACGUGUCCUCUCUCCACGUAUCACGUUCCACUGCUCGUCCCCUGUUUGGCUGUUUCAGUUUUUAAUGGUUUCUGGUAGGCUUUCAAUUCCAAAGACAAUGAAGGAAAAAAGAAGAUCACCGUCUAACCAUGUAAUCUAGCUCAACUCAACUCCACUCCGUUGUAAAGUAAAGUAACCAUGGUUAAUUCUGAUUUUGCCCCUGUUUGUCAAUGUGGCGCUAAGCUUUUGCCUGCUGUCAACUUCAUGCACAAAAUAGAGUACAACUGCUGGCCAGCCUGAUUUUACACGUGGAGCGUUUGCUAUGGGUCUUUUGCCUUCCCUACAUUUUUUUCUAGUGGCCCCUAUUCGCCGUACUGUCCUAUCUGUCACUGCACACGUUGUCCAUUUGUUUCCUUACACGUAUCAUGCGAAUCUACUUGAGUUGAUUGCAUUGCUG